rnacentral:rRNA from 1 species
UGGGGAAUAUUGGACAAUGGGGGAAACCCUGAUCCAGCCAUGCCGCGUGAGUGAAGAAGGCCCUAGGGUUGUAAAGCUCUUUCGACGGGGACGAUGAUGACGGUACCCGUAGAAGAAGCCCCGGCUAACUUCGUGCCAGCAGCCGCGGUAAUACGAAGGGGGCAAGCGUUGUUCGGAUUUACUGGGCGUAAAGGGCGCGUAGGCGGAUUUGCAAGUCAGAGGUGAAAGCCCUGGGCUCAACCCGGGAAUGGCCUUUGAGACUGCAAGUCUUGAGUGCGAGAGAGGGUGGCGGAGUACCCAGUGUAGAGGUGAAAUUCGUAGAUAUUGGGUAGAACACCAGUGGCGAAGACGGCCACCUGGCUCGCAACUGACGCUGAGGCGUGAAAGCGUGGGGGAGCAAACAGGAUUAGAUACCCUGGUAGUCCACGCCGUAAACGAUGUGUGCUAGCCGUUGGUGACCUUUUUGGUCGUCGGUGGCGCAGCUAACGCGAUAAGCACACCGCCUGGGGA